rnacentral:misc_RNA from 1 species
GAUGAAGAACGUAGUGAAAUGCGAUACGUAAUGUGAAUUGCAAAUUCAGUGAAUCAUCGAGUCUUUGAACGCACAUUGCGCCCCCUGGUAUUCCGGGGGGCAUGCUUGUCCGAGCGUCAUUGCUGCCCUCAAGCACGGCUUGUGUGUUGGGCCCCGUCCUCCGAUCCCGGGGGACGGGCCCGAAAGGCAGCGGCGGCACCGCGUCCGGUCCUCGAGCGUAUGGGGCUUUGUCACCCGCUCUGUAGGCCCGGCCGGCGCUUGCCGAUCAACCCAAAUUUUUAUCCAGGUUGACCUCGGAUCAGGUAGGGAUACCCGCUGAACUUAAGCAUAUCAAUAAGCGGAGGA